rnacentral:rRNA from 1 species
UAAUAAGCGGAGGAAAAGAAACUAACAAGGAUUCCCUCAGUAACGGCGAGUGAAGCGGGAAUAGCUCAAAUUUGAAAUCUCCGACGCUUGCGUCGGCGAAUUGUAGUUGCGAGAAGCACUUUCUAGGCGGAUCGGUCGUGCCUAAGUUGCUUGGAACAGUACGUCAUAGAGGGUGACAACCCCGUCUGUGGCUCGGCCGGCCGCUCACGAUGUGCUUUCGAAGAGUCGGGUUGUUUGGGAAUGCAGCCCAAAAAUGGUGGUAAACUCCAUCUAAAGCUAAAUACUGACGUGAGACCGAUAGCGA